rnacentral:lncRNA from 10 species
AGGAUUUCCAAGUUCGAGGGCAUUGUUCAGGCUGGGGUUUCAUCAUGGGACAGCAGUUAUCAGCACAAUAGAAGCAGUAUAUAAAAGUAUUGAAACAGCUGCUUAAAGCUAGUGGAGCCUCGGUUUCACAAGCUCAAUUAAGGGACCUAAUGCAAACUGUUGUAUCCCAUAACCCAUGGUUCCUGGAAGAAGGUAUGCUAGAUGUAGAGCUCUGGGAACAGGUGCGGAGAAAUCUUAAACAACAUCAUGUGCAAGGGCAAUGGGUCCCAGUAACAUCUUUAACGUUAUGGGCUUUAGAACAGUUCUGGUCCUGCUCUACACAGAAGAGCCUAGACAGGGAAGGGAGGAAGAACCAUCACCUACCUUACUGCCUCCUUAUCCCUCAGCCCCGCCAUCACUGGGCCAAAAUAACAAAGAGGAAAUGGAGGUUGUGCCUGAGCCUGCUCCUCCAAUAGACUGAAUAAAAGACAAGGGAUACACUACAGCUAUGGGACCCUGUCUUUGGCAAGUGGCAUUAGAAGGGGAGCUCUUACCCUGUCCGGUAAUGCAAGAUCAACAAGGCAAUCAGGUUCUCUUUGAAUUCCAGCAUGAUGCAUCGAACCGUACCAUGACAUGGCUAGGACCCAACCUGGUACCAGAAAUGAAGAAAAUGACCCUACAGGACCCACAGCCCUGGACGCUGUGGCUUCCUUGGACAACACAGGCCCCAGACAUUAUGCUGAAGAAGCAGAAGGCUUAGCAAAUCCUGCUCCAAGCCGAAAUACCUGUCACUCCAAAUAAUUUGUUCCAUUUUUAUUCUCUCACUCUGCCUACAACUGGUACCUGCUACACUCUAUUGGGCUCAUCUCUUAAAUCCAUCUUUCUUCUGCCCUGUUACUUAGACAAACACCCACUUCCCAGCUUCUAACAACGUGACGGCUUGGCUAAAAGGGAUUAAUAUACCUUCAGUGGGGUUCCGUAGCAAUGGCACACAUCAGACUAAGGUACCAGGUCACUCCUUGAUUGGAAAAUAAUGUUGCUAAUAAUACUCAUGUUUGUCUUAUGUUAUUUACUAAUUCUAGGAUGAAAAGCCAGAAUACAAGCAGUGACC